rnacentral:rRNA from 1 species
GACGAACGCUGGCGGCGUGCUUAACACAUGCAAGUCGAACGGAAAGGCCCUGCUUUUGUGGGGUGCUCGGGUGGCGAACGGGUGAGUAACACGUGAGUAACCUGCCCUUGACUUUGGGAUAACUUCGGGAAACUGGGGCUAAUACCGGAUAGGAGCUCCUGCUGCAUGGUGGGGGUUGGAAAGUUUCGGCGGUUGGGGAUGGACUCGCGGCUUAUCAGCUUGUUGGUGGGGUAGUGGCUUACCAAGGCUUUGACGGGUAGCCGGCCUGAGAGGGUGACCGGCCACAUUGGGACUGAGAUACGGCCCAGACUCCUACGGGAGGCAGCAGUGGGGAAUAUUGCACAAUGGGCGGAAGCCUGAUGCAGCAACGCCGCGUGCGGGAUGACGGCCUUCGGGUUAUAAACCGCUUUCGCCUGUGACGAAGCGUGAGUGACGGUAAUGGGUAAAGAAGCACCGGCUAACUACGUG